AGCGUAGACGGUGUGGCAAGUCUGAUGUGAAAGGCAUGGGCUCAACCUGUGGACUAGCAUUGGAAACUGUCAUACUUGAGUGCCGGAGGGGUAAGCGGAAUUCCUAGUGUAGCGGUGAAAUGCGUAGAUAUUAGGAGGAACACCAGUGGCGAAGGCGGCUUACUGGACGGUAACUGACGUUGAGGCUCGAAAGCGUGGGAGCGAACA
rnacentral:rRNA from 1 species